rnacentral:rRNA from 1 species
UACGAAGGGGGCUAGCGUUGCUCGGAAUUACUGGGCGUAAAGCGCACGUAGGUGGUCUUUUAAGUCGGGGGUGAAAUCCUGGAGCUCAACUCCAGAACUGCCUUCGAUACUGGAGACUUGAGUCCGGGAGAGGUGAGUGGAACUGCGAGUGUAGAGGUGAAAUUCGUAGAUAUUCGCAAGAACACCAGUGGCGAAGGCGGCUCACUGGCCCGGUACUGACGCUGAGGUGCGAAAGCGUGGGGAGCAAACAGG